AAAUUGAAGAGUUUGAUCAUGGCUCAGAUUGAACGCUGGCGGCAGGCCUAACACAUGCAAGUCGAACGGUAGCACAGAGAGCUUGCUCUCGGGUGACGAGUGGCGGACGGGUGAGUAAUGUCUGGGAAACUGCCUGAUGGAGGGGGAUAACUACUGGAAACGGUGGCUAAUACCGCAUAACGUCGCAAGACCAAAGAGGGGGACCUUCGGGCCUCUUGCCAUCAGAUGUGCCCAGAUGGGAUUAGCUUGUUGGUGAGGUAACGGCUCACCAAGGCGACGAUCCCUAGCUGGUCUGAGAGGAUGACCAGCCACACUGGAAC
rnacentral:rRNA from 1 species